CCAAAACAGGAACUAGAGUAAGACUUGAGAGGAAGAAAUGAAAGAAACUUUCAGGCACAGCCCAGCAGGGAAGGAAGCUGGGAACCUUUGCUGUCUUGUCUGUUAUUCCUGCUUCCAGCAAGAAAACAGUUGCAUCACAGAGCCAUCUGGAUCCCUCAGCGAUUUCUACAUCUAUCUGGUAAAAAAUUAUUUCCAGGGCCUAGUGAGAGCUUAUGUGCUCACUGCAUCGCUGAGAAAGACUUGAGGAAUAAUUGGUCCCAGGAGAGUCAUAUGCCAGUGCCUUGAGAUUCCCCCUUCACACUGAGUAGUUGCCUUUGUUAUCUUCCCACUGCUGAUGUUAACCAGCAGAACAAGCACUGAACUGGAAUGUUUCUGUCAUAUUUUUCUUCGCCAAUCUAUUUUUGCUGUCCACCUUUUUGGAGUUUUGUUUGUGACUAAUGGCCUUACAAUGCUCGGAGCAAGAAGAGAACUGGGAGGUGAGCCUGCACUCUUCAGUGCCCUGAUGCUGUACAUUUGGAUCAAAACUCCAGAUCUCGAAUCUGUGGGUGACCUGCCACUGACGGGAGCUGAAGGCAGCGCACGAGCAGCCGGCCUGCAGGAGCUGGUGUUCCUGCCGCGGGGAGAAGCCUUUUCCAGUCCAGCAGGUAGGUGCACAUUGCAGCCAAAAACAGCCUCAGCAAAGCACUGCUGCUCCCUGAUCGCUGCUGCUCGGCCCCGAAGGGAUCAGGCAGUCACAGCGAGACUUGCAAGUCUAUUAAGAGGGAUCCUUGAGCGUUAUGGCCUUUCACUGGUGAAAUCAUAGCAGCAUUAAGCGAGAAAACAACUGAAAAAGGUUGUUCUAGAGUAGUUUCCUAGGUCUUUGGAUGUCUAAGCCUAAUUCACAGAUCAAAAUAAUGGAUAAAGGAGUGCUUAGGUGGGGGUUCUAAUGGAAAAGUAUCCUAGCAAAUC
rnacentral:lncRNA from 1 species